GUUAACUUGAAGAAUAGAAAUGGAGUGAAAGGAGAAGUAUGGAGUAGUUUGGGUCUAGUGCAAAGAGAGGGCAAGUCUUACAAAGAUUGUCUGUCAAGCUUCAGGAGGGUCUUAAGAAGUCAAGAAGUGAUCUUAUGGCUGUGGAAGAUUGGGUUUAAGUCCAGGAGGGACUUAGACACCAUUUGGAGAAUAUUUGGUUGAGAC
rnacentral:lncRNA from 1 species